GAAACAAGUAAGGCAGGAAAGCGAAUAUGCAAUUCAACGUUAGACAUUCAGGAAUGGUAGCUGUCCUUUUGGCCAGUUGUUUUAUCGUUCCUUCGUUUGCUCAAACGACGCCACAAUCCGGCGCGUCCGCCGACAACACGAAGGUCAAUAAGCGAGACCGAUAGCGCACAAGUA
rnacentral:rRNA from 1 species